GAUGAAGAACGCAGCGAAGUGCGAUAUGUAAUGUGAAUUGCAGAAUUCCGUGAAUCAUCGAAUCUUUGAACGCAAAUUGCACUUUCUGGUAUUCCGGAAAGUAUGCCUGUUUGAGGGUCAGUUAAAUAAAAAUCGGUGUUGUUGCUGCUUUUCGUGGUGACGCAUCGGAAUUGGGUCGUCUUACCUUCGGUUAAGUGACUUAAAAUUUUUUAUGAUUUUUGAACGUAUUUAAAUUUUUUUGUACGUUUGAGAUAUCGAAUGUUUAUUAGGUUCGGUCAUCCUCAUGACUCGCGCCUAUAAUUUUUCAUUAAAUGACCUCAAAUCAGGUAAGAAUACCCGCUGAACUUAAGCAUAUCAAUAAGCGGAGGA
rnacentral:misc_RNA from 1 species